rnacentral:rRNA from 1 species
AUGAACGCUGGCGGCGUGCCUAAUACAUGCAAGUCGAGCGAACGGACGAGAAGCUUGCUUCUCUGAUGUUAGCGGCGGACGGGUGAGUAACACGUGGAUAACCUACCUAUAAGACUGGGAUAACUUCGGGAAACCGGAGCUAAUACCGGAUAAUAUUUUGAACCGCAUGGUUCAAAAGUGAAAGACGGUCUUGCUGUCACUUAUAGAUGGAUCCGCGCUGCAUUAGCUAGUUGGUAAGGUAACGGCUUACCAAGGCAACGAUGCAUAGCCGACCUGAGAGGGUGAGCGGCCACACUGGAACUGGAGCACGGUCCAGACUCCUACGGGAGGCAGCAGUAGGGAAUCUUCCGCAAUGGGCGAAAGCCUGACGGAGCAACGCCGCGUGAGUGAUGAAGGUCUUCGGAUCGUAAAACUCUGUUAUUAGGGAAGAACAUAUGUGUAAGUAACUGUGCACAUCUUGACGGUACCUAAUCAGAAAGCCACGGCUAACUACGUG